UCUGUCAUAAUACACUGUGGGAACUCUGUCAUAAUACACUGUGGGAAUUCUUGUCAUAAUACACUGUGGGAACUUGUCAAAAUACAAUGUGGGAACUCUGUCAUAAUACACUGUGGGAACUCUGUCAUAAUACACUGUGGGAACUCUGUCAUAAUACACUGUGGGAACUCUGUCAUAAUACACUGUGGGAACUUGUCAAAAUACACUGUGGGAACUCUGUCAUAAUACACUGUGGGAACUCUGUCAUAAUACACUGUGGGAACUCUGUCAUAAUACACUGUGGGAACUCUUGUCAUAAUACACUGUGGGAACUCAGUCAUAAUACACUGUGGGAACUCAGUCAUAAUACACUGUGGGAACUC